GGAGGCAGCAGUGAGGAAUAUUGGUCAAUGGUCGGCAGACUGAACCAGCCAAGUCGCGUGAGGGAAGACGGCCCUACGGGUUGUAAACCUCUUUUGUCGGAGAGUAAAGUACGCUACGUGUAGUGUAUUGCAAGUAUCCGAAGAAAAAGCAUCGGCUAACUCCGUGCCAGCAGCCGCGGUAAUACGGAGGAUGCAAGCGUUAUCCGGAUUUAUUGGGUUUAAAGGGUGCGUAGGCGGCACGCCAAGUCAGCGGUGAAAUUUCCGGGCUCAACCCGGAGUGUGCCGUUGAAACUGGCGAGCUAGAGUACACAAGAGGCAGGCGGAAUGCGUGGUGUAGCGGUGAAAUGCAUAGAUAUCACGCAGAACCCCGAUUGCGAAGGCAGCCUGCUAGGGUGAAACAGACGCUGAGGCACGAAAGCGUGGGUAUCGAACAGGAUUAGAUACCCUGGUAGUCCACGCAGUAAACGAUGAAUACUAACUGUUUGCGAUACAAUGUAAGCGGUACAGCGAAAGCGUUAAGUAUUCCACCUGGGGAGUACGCCGGCAACGGUGAAACUCAAAGGAAUUGACGGGGGCCCGCACAAGCGGAGGAACAUGUGGUUUAAUUCGAUGAUACGCGAGGAACCUUACCCGGGCUCAAACGCAGGGGGAAUAUAUAUGAAAGUAUAUAGCUAGCAAUAGUCACCUGCGAGGUGCUGCAUGGUUGUCGUCAGCUCGUGCCGUGAGGUGUCGGCUUAAGUGCCAUAACGAGCGCAACCCCUAUUGACAGUUACUAACGGGUGAAGCCGAGGACUCUGUCGAGACUGCCGGCGCAAGCCGCGAGGAAGGUGGGGAUGACGUCAAAUCAGCACGGCCCUUACGUCCGGGGCUACACACGUGUUACAAUGGCAGGUACAGAAGGCAGCCAGUCAGCAAUGACGCGCGAAUCCCGAAAACCUGUCUCAGUUCGGAUUGGAGUCUGCAACCCGACUCCAUGAAGCUGGAUUCGCUAGUAAUCGCGCAUCAGCCAUGGCGCGGUGAAUACGUUCCUGGGCCUUGUACACACCGCCCGUCAAGCCAUGGGAGCCGGGAGUACCUGAAGCAUGCAACCGCAAGGAGCGUACGAAGGUAAUACCGGUAACUGGGGCUAAGUCGUAACAAGGUAGCCGUACCGGAAGGUGCGGCUG
rnacentral:rRNA from 1 species